rnacentral:sRNA from 1 species
UACUGUUGACAUAACCAAGCCGACGAUGC